UGACCUACGGGGGGCAGCAGUGAGGAAUAUUGGUCAAUGGCCGGGAGGCUGAACCAGCCAAGUCGCGUGAGGGAAGACGGCCCUACGGGUUGUAAACUUCUUUUGUCAGGGAGCAAGGUGCAGGUCGGGACCUGCUGUGAGAGUACCUGAAGAAAAAGCAUCGGCUAACUCCGUGCCAGCAGCCGCGGUAAUACGGAGGAUGCGAGCGUUAUCCGGAUUUAUUGGGUUUAAAGGGUGCGUAGGCGGUUUGAUAAGUUAGAGGUGAAAUGUAGGGGCUCAACCCCGAAACUGCCUCUAAUACUGUU
rnacentral:rRNA from 1 species